rnacentral:lncRNA from 1 species
UAAAAUAACUAAAAGCAGUUUUAGAUCAUCAAAAGCACUUCUGAUCAUGUUUCACAAAAAAAUUUAGAUGUUCUUUGAUAGUGGGCAACUUACAUGUUUAUUAAAAAAAUGCAAUGUACUUCUAAUAGAAGAACUUUCAAGAAAGAUACUUAUAAACAUAAAUGUUUUCUAAAGAAUCAAUUCCAAACGAGCAAUUAAUAUCGCUAUAGUAUCUAGGGUUGUUUCAAUGACAUUUCGUCUUAUUUCAUUCGACCCAUUUUGUUUAACUUAGUUAAUAUCAUGGAAUUAGAAGCACAUAUUAAUUUGUUCCUUAAUCUUUUUCAUGGAAUCCUGCAUUGUUAAGUAUAAGACAUUCGACGGGUUAAAAUAUGAAGAUUCAUGAUUAAGAUGUUGCAAAAGUGUGGAAGGAAAAACAAAUGUUAUAAUAUUAUUCAUGUUUAUCAUUAUUAGUAUUAGCUGUUGGAACAUCACAAUAUUGCGCAACUCAAUCGGCAAAGUCCCGUUAGUUGCAGAAGAUCGAUCUAGUUGACCCCAAAAAAAAUCAUCUAAUUUUGAAUUUGGAUACAGGACUUAAUACUAUCACUAUAUGACGUCCUCCUUAGACGUCAUUACAGCUACUGUUGUAUAUGGAUUGGAUCAACCUUGAUCCAUAAUCGGAUCCAUUUAUAUUCAAAUUAACAUAUUUGAAAUCUAUUCGGAUCAUCGGAUUUGACUUGUCGAUCCAGAUCGAAUUGGAUUAUUAUCAGAUUUAAUUUAAGACCUAGAAAAGAUCACAAUAUCAUUAAUAACCUCAUUCUUGUGUUAUAUCAUUUCUUUUUUUUUUUAUUUAAAAGUUUAAUGUUGAAUAAUAAGAAAAUAGGAUAUAAGUGUAUUUUUAUUUCAUAAAAAACUUAAACUACUCUUACACAAAAGUAUAAACAAUACAAAAAGGGGUGUGCUAUCCACACACCCCUUUUUACUUCUUACACACCUUUUGUUAAUUUAUGUCCGUUGAUCUUCUUCAAUUCAUCAAAUCCGACGGCCGAAAAUUAGAAGGAUGUGUGAGAAGUAAAAAAUGGUGUAUUGAUAUCACACCUCUAUAAAAAUUAAAUAAUAUGUUAUACUAAGUCUGAUCGGUCAACCUUGAUCCAUAUCAGGAUCCAUUUGUAUCAGACUAUCAAAUUCAAAUCUUAUUCAGAUAAUCGGAUUGGAAGUCGCGAUUCAUAUUCUAUUAAUUACAUCAUAUUCGGAUCAUAUCUAGGUCAAAAUCUGAUCCAUUAGUUACAAAAUAUUCUAAAUUUCUAUAUUUAUGAAUCUAAACAAGUGAAUUGGUUCAUGUCAAUUAAUAAAUUUUGAACUUUUGUCCAAAUUCUGAGGUUAUUUCCCUCAUACCCUCAUUCAAGAAUAGGGUUACCGUUUUUAUUGGUCUUUUUAUGGGAUAUCUUGUUUUUCUUUUAUGGGACAUUCACUUUUUAUAUAAGAUAAAUAUAUAAAAAAAAUUGCUAUGGUAUGUGAACUUGUUUUUCUUUAUUAACCUACUGUUACAAAGGAAAAAGUUCGAGAAUGGAAUUUACAGAAGAAAAAGGGCCAACCAACUAGGCAAAUACAUAAAAUUCCAUCUGUUAGAGAUAUACUUGCAAAAAAUUACUUUGUAUAAAUUAAUGGCACACCAACAAUUAAACAAAAGAGGCGUAAAGAGACAAAGGAUGUGGCUACUUAUAUUUCUUUCUUCCGAUUUGGUAAUUGGAAUUUUCUGUUAUGACUGUGACCCAAUACCAAUAGAUAUCACGUCAAAUAUAUACUUAAUAUAAAUUAUACAAUUUGAUCAAAUUCCUAACUACUACAAUUUUGUUUUUUUAAAUGAUCAGUUAGUGGCUUUGUCAUGUCAGU